rnacentral:rRNA from 1 species
UACGUAGGGUGCGAGCGUUAAUCGGAAUUACUGGGCGUAAAGCGUGCGCAGGCUGUUCUGUAAGUCAGAUGUGAAAUCCCCGAGCUCAACUUGGGAACUGCGUUUGAAACUACAGGACUAGAAUAUGUCAGAGGGGGGUAGAAUUCCACGUGUAGCAGUGAAAUGCGUAGAGAUGUGGAGGAAUACCAAUGGCGAAGGCAGCCCCCUGGGACUAAGUAUUGACGCUCAUGCACGAAAGCGUGGGGAGCAAACAGG